rnacentral:rRNA from 1 species
UACGGAGGGCGCUAGCGUUGUUCGGAAUUACUGGGCGUAAAGCGCACGUAGGCGGCUUUGUAAGUUAGAGGUGAAAGCCUGGAGCUCAACUCCAGAAUAGCCUUUAAGACUGCAUCGCUUGAAUCCAGGAGAGGUGAGUGGAAUUCCGAGUGUAGAGGUGAAAUUCGUAGAUAUUCGGAAGAACACCAGUGGCGAAGGCGGCUCACUGGACUGGUAUUGACGCUGAGGUGCGAAAGCGUGGGGAGCAAACAGG